rnacentral:rRNA from 1 species
UUGAACGCUGGCGGCAUGAUUUACACAUGCAAGUCGAACGGUAACAGGCCGCAAGGUGCUGACGAGUGGCGAACGGGUGAGUAAUGCAUCGGAACGUGCCCAGUCGUGGGGGAUAACUACUCGAAAGAGUAGCUAAUACCGCAUACGAUCUAUGGAUGAAAGCGGGGGACCGUAAGGCCUCGCGCGAUUGGAGCGGCCGAUGUCAGAUUAGGUAGUUGGUGGGGUAAAGGCUCACCAAGCCAACGAUCUGUAGCUGGUCUGAGAGGACGACCAGCCACACUGGGACUGAGACACGGCCCAGACUCCUACGGGAGGCAGCAGUGGGGAAUUUUGGACAAUGGGCGCAAGCCUGAUCCAGCAAUGCCGCGUGCAGGAAGAAGGCCUUCGGGUUGUAAACUGCUUUUGUACGGAACGAAACGGCUCUGGUUAAUACCCGGGGCUAAUGACGGUACCGUAAGAAUAAGCACCGGCUAACUACGUG